ensembl:lncRNA
AUGUGGACCCCGUCACGGAAAGCUGCAGCACCUUGUCCUGUGAAAUGUCCUUACUCCCAGAGAUGGUGAUCUUCUUGAUGGACCUUGAGACAGGAGAGGGAGAGGCGACAUUCCGGUUCAGGUCGUCCUCGGCUGCCAUGUCCUCCUGAUUGUGCCUCGCGGGUGCUACCUGCUUCGCGGCGGGGGACGCCAGACAGGGGCCGCGUGCGCAGACCUGGGGCCGACUGAGGUAGAGCGAGUUCAGGUUGUGUUGCAGAGGGCAGUUAUCCAGGCUCUGCUGGCUCUGCAGGUAACUCUGUGUAAACUCCUGGCAUUUUGGCACCGCCGGGACUGAGAGUCUCGUCCCAAUGGUGAAGGGCUGGACCUUCCUCACAAUGCUUUCAGACAUUGCAAUGUCCAGCUCCGUGGGUCCAGUCUCUGUCCAACUGGCAAGUGGAGGGCUGAACAGAAAGUGGAGGGAGAGCUCAGUUCUCCACCUUCUUGUGCAUAUUGAGAAUGCACAGCACGCAGCCCAGGACGGCUUCCUUGGACUCCUGGGAUCGAAUGCGGUCCCAGACGUGGCGCAGCGCCGUGCCAAGGUGGGCAGCGCCCGUAGAGAGGCUUCUCCUGAGGAACUGUGCCACCGAGCCUGCCAGUCUGCUACUGAGGAGCCUGAUAACCAGGGACCGCAGCAAGAUGAAAACUGCUGGCAUGCUGCCUGACUGUGCUGCGAAAAACUGCAAAGAAAAAAAAAAGGAAACUGAAAAAAAAAAAGGAGGGGGAAAGAGGAGGGUUGGUUAGGAGAGGGAUGAAGUCACCGCUCUCUCUGUCUCUCGUUCUCUGUCAGCGGUGACUGAGUGUUAGAGGGGGGCUGACAAAACCUCCCCUCUGAACCCGGACACAAAAUAUGUCCAGAUAAGAGCCGAGAAAUGGAGUCAGAGGGAAAAGACCUCUGUCCGACCUCUUCAAUCACAACUUGCCCUCUGUGAGGUAAUAUCCUCAGCUGAAACAAAGUCUCACACACACACGCACACACACACUCGCCUUACCUCUACUUUGAAGUGCGCAGGAACAGAUUCAGCCCUUGGGUGUUUUUGCUUUACAAGAGCAAAAAAAAAUAAAUCAAGCCUUUAACACUCAGCAGACUUUAAAAUAAAAUCCAGUUUCAAAUCUGAGCAGAGUGUGAGCUUGAGAUGCGUGUGAGCGCCGUCUGUCUGCGAGUGAGAGUGUGCUCUCCUCAGCUCCGAGCCUCUCCCCAUCGGCCAGGAGCAGUUGUCGCUCAGGUUCCAGCUGAACGCGACAGCCCUGCCGCUCCUUAAACCGCCGCGCUGCUGGCGUGACAAGUGUGUGUGUCUGUGUGUGUGUGUGUGUGUGUGUGUGGUGGACGGGGGGCAAAUUGCAGUCGAGCAGAUGAUGACCCCCCUGCCACUCCUUCUCGAUGGUGGUGGCGAGGGUUCAACAGAGCGCAUGUUGGGAUGACGGACUGGAAUGGCAGGGGGUGGCGUGCGUGCGUGUGUCAGGGGAGUGGGGAUUACUGGGCAGAGCAGACAGCGGAGGGGGGGUAAAUAUUUUUGCAGGGAGCAAAGCGGAGAAUCUGCCUCGACUGGUGAAAGCUUUCCCCCCAAAAAAGGAAACUCUCCCUCUUCACUCGGCUGCUCCCUGACUUGACCCCGGCACCUGGUUGCAGUAGCUGCUCAAACUACUCGCAACAAAGAUACUCCUUGUUUUUUACUUUUAAAGUUCCCAAAAUAGAUCCUCACAUGGUAGAACUACAUGAAAUGUAGAAACAGAAACAUGAAUGACAUGUGUUCAGCGUUUGAUUCAGGCUUGAACAGGCGGCAGCGGGGUCGACAUGGUUAAUGGCGCUUUUAAGAGAGCUCCGCUUUCACGAUGAGGUCAUCUGAGGAAGAGUUUAAUGUGUUGCAGCUUGAAAUCAGAGAUAAAUCGUGCGCAGGCUGGGUGGUGUUCACGGAAGGCUGCAUGGGUGGAGUUCAAGGGUUUGGGCUGACGUUAAAAUGCCAUUUCCUCAUAUUGCUGGGCUCUAAAAGUGUGCAAGCAGUGGGUACACUGUGUGACUGGGACACCGCCGCAGGCCAAAAUGUUGUUUGUGUUCAGAUGGAACAGUUAAAAAUGGGUGUAAUUUUUGAUCUAGAAUUGUUAUGUACCAGAAGGCAAUACAUAUAAAUACAUGUGUAAUGAUAGUCGUUCUGUGUCAAGUUGACAUGAAGAAAUGGUGACGUGAAUACUGCAAUCCAAAGUUUAGCCCAGAAUUUAACAAUCAUGUGCAACACCUUAGGAUAUAUAUAUAUAUAUAUAUAUA